rnacentral:rRNA from 1 species
UCGGGGUUACAGCCUUGCUGAAUUAUUCACCCUUGUCUUUUGCGUACUUCUUGUUUCCUUGGUGGGUUCGCCCACCACUAGGACAAACAUAAACCUUUUGUAAUUGCAAUCAGCGUCAGUAACAAAUUAAUAAUUACAACUUUCAACAACGGAUCUCUUGGUUCUGGCAUCGAUGAAGAACGCAGCGAAAUGCGAUAAGUAGUGUGAAUUGCAGAAUUCAGUGAAUCAUCGAAUCUUUGAACGCACAUUGCGCCCUUUGGUAUUCCAAAGGGCAUGCCUGUUCGAGCGUCAUUUGUACCCUCAAGCUUUGCUUGGUGUUGGGCGUCUUGUCUCUAGCUUUGCUGGAGACUCGCCUUAAAGUAAUUGGCAGCCGGCCUACUGGUUUCGGAGCGCAGCACAAGUCGCACUCUCUAUCAGCAAAGGUCUAGCAUCCAUUAAGCCUUUUUUUCAACUUUUGACCUCCGAUCAGGUAGGGAUACCCGCUGAAGUUAA